rnacentral:rRNA from 1 species
GACGAACGCUGGCGGCGUGCUUAACACAUGCAAGUCGAACGGAAAGGCCCUGCUCUUGUGGGGUGCUCGAGUGGCGAACGGGUGAGUAACACGUGAGUAACCUGCCCUUGACUUUGGGAUAACUUCAGGAAACUGGGGCUAAUAACGGAUAGGAGCUCCUGCUGCAUGGUGGGGGUUGGAAAGUUUCGGCGGUUGGGGAUGGACUCGCGGCUUAUCAGCUUGUUGGUGGGGUAGUGGCUUACCAAGGCUUUGACGGGUAGCCCGCCUGAGAGGGUGACCGGCCACAUUGGGACUGCGAUACGGCCCAGACUCCUACGGGAGGCAGCAGUGGGGAAUCUUGCACAAUGGGCGGAAGCCUGAUGCAGCAACGCCGCGUGCGGGAUGACGGCCUUCGGGUUGUAAACCGCUUUCGCCUGUGACGAAGCGUGAGUGACGGUAAUGGGUAAAGAAGCAACGGCUAACUACGUG